ensembl:scaRNA small Cajal body-specific RNA 20
GGCCUUUCAUCCAUUUGGGUCCUGGGGGUUACUUUGCUCCUCCACCAGGACCAGAGGCUGAGAUCAGCCCUGAAAGAUCAUGUUAGAGGUCCCAUAAGAAGGGAGCUUUGUUUUCCUGCUUCAUACAUGU